rnacentral:rRNA from 1 species
CACGUAGGGUGCGAGCGUUGUCCGGAAUUAUUGGGCGUAAAGAGCUCGUAGGCGGUGUGUCACGUCGGCCGUGAAAACCUGCAGCUUAACUGUGGGCGUGCGGUCGAUACGGGCAUCACUGGAGUUCGGCAGGGGAGACUGGAAUUCCUGGUGUAGCGGUGAAAUGCGCAGAUAUCAGGAGGAACACCGGUGGCGAAGGCGGGUCUCUGGGCCGAUACUGAUGCUGAGGAGCGAAAGCGUGGGGAGCAAACAGG